AAUAAUAGAUGAGACUCCCCAACAGACACAGGCCAGACUUGAAACACACAGAAUCAGAGCGAGUACAUCAAGAAAGAAUGAGACUCCCAUACAGAGACAGGCCAGACUUGAAAAAGACAGAAUCAGAGUUUCCUAUCACAUAUUUCAAUUAUAACUUUCAAAAUUUCCUAUCACAUAUUUCAAUUAUUAUUCAUUUUUUAGAUUUAAAUACACAUUUUUGCAUUUUUUUUCAUUAACAUUUCUUCCAUUUUUUCCCCGUGCAAAGCCGGGUAUAUCAGCUAGUUAUAUAUAAUAUUAAAGUGCAGCAUGGAAAAAAUCAAAACCAUUAUCAUAACACCAACGAAAAAGAGCAACUACAUCAAGGGCUUCCAUGUUCCAAGAAACUUUAAAGUGUUCAGCUUUUGCCUAUAAUCCAAACAUCAAUUA
rnacentral:lncRNA from 1 species